rnacentral:rRNA from 1 species
AACGAACGCUGGCGGCAUGCCUAACACAUGCAAGUCGAACGAGACCUUCGGGUCUAGUGGCGCACGGGUGCGUAACGCGUGGGAACCUGCCCUUAGGUUCGGAAUAACUCCCCGAAAGGGGUGCUAAUACCGGAUAAUGUCUUCGGACCAAAGAUUUAUCGCCUUUGGAUGGGCCCGCGUUGGAUUAGCUAGUUGGUAGGGUAAAAGCCUACCAAGGCGGCGAUCCAUAGCUGGUCUGAGAGGAUGAUCAGCCACACUGGGACUGAGACACGGCCCAGACUCCUACGGGAGGCAGCAGUGGGGAAUAUUGGACAACGGGCGAAAGCCUGAUCCAGCAAGGCCGCGUGAGUGAUGAAGGCCUUAGGGUUGUAAAGCUCUUUUACCCGGGAUGAUAAUGACAGUACCGGGAGAAUAAGCUCCGGCUAACUCCGU